UUAUAUUAAGUGUAAAGACCAUAGGCGCAAAACAGGCACUGAACGAAUUAAUAACCCCCCAUUUUAUUUUGAGCUGGAUGCGAUUUUAGGGGAGAAACAUAAAUGUCAUCCUCAAAAUUUACAAGACACUGAAGGUGAAGACUCCAGUACUAGCAUUUAUGACGAUCCCACACCAAGUACAAGCAGUACUACCAUGGCAAGCACUGAUAGUCAAGUAAAGGAAAAGAUAGGCAUUAAAAAUCGAUUUAAGAAAGUAAAGCAUGGUAUUAAACCAAAAACAUCCAACCAAAUAUAUCUAGAAUUCUUAACAAAACACUUACAACAAGAAGCACAGGAUCGCAAUCAGC